UACAAUCUCCUCUUGUCUAUGGUGUUUUUCUGCAAUAGUUCCCUACGCAAUCAUUAUAGUAGAAUAAAGGAAAUAAUCUAGGGAUAGUGAUUCAAUAAAUAACAGGUGCCCUGUCUAGAGCGUACGCGUCCUUGAGCCACGCACCUGCAUGAUGACCGCAUACCGAGAGACUAUUGUUUCAGGUUGACCUUGUCUAGAGGAGCAUUAGUGGAAAAAAAACUGUGUAGCCCUGAGACAAUAGGAUGCCGACACGACCAAUGAGGCUGGCCUGCAGGGGGCGCAAGGAUUCACUUCUCUCUUGGACACUGACGGGUGUAGACACGGUAAUUAUGAUCCUGGCGUUGGCCGUCAGUGGAAGAGCGUAGCUUAGGUGGGGUUCUGUCUGCCUCUGAUGGGGUGUGGAUGUAUGGUUCGUCACUGGUGAAUGGUGUUCGACGAUGCAGGUGGAUUUUGUGACGAGCGGAUUUACAAUGAGGGAAUGCUGUGAACGGGAAAAAUGAUGGUGAGUGCCUUUUUCACUCUGUUCAAGUGUUCGUUUUCCUCUGUUGCCCAACAGUCGUGCGAAUUUGUCCUGACGUGUCCUGACAUGCCCCGAUAUGCAUGCUUUCCUUUGUUAACGCUUUGUAUUUUGUCUUUUUUUUGACAAGGAACAUUGUCGUCUUGACGAUAGUGCUGCCCUGAGUUCUGCGCGCGUUGAUUUGUUGAGUGCCUAGUCCUCUUAUUAGCCGUUGAUGGAGUUACAUGUUAGGAUGUUUUGUUCUUUUGCAAGUCUCAUUUAGUAAGACUUUGGAAUUCCUACGAUCAGUUUUCAUGCAUGGUGCUCUUCUGCAAUAGUUUCCUAUGCAAUGGUUAUAGAAGAAUAAAGGAAAUAAUCUUGGGAUAGUGAUUCAAUAAAUAAUAGGUCCCCUGCUAGAGCGCACGCGUCCUUGAGCCACGCAGGUGCAUGAUGACGUCAUACCGUGGCUUCACUGCAGAUUGACCAAAGGAGCAUUAGUGGAAAAAAAAACAGUGUAGCCCUGAGACAAUAGGAUGAUGUCUGGACCAAUGAGAACUGCCAGCAGGGGGCGCAGGAAUGCUCUUCUCACUUAGCCUCACGACCAAUGAGAACGGCCAGCAGGGGGCGCAGGAAUGCUCUUCUCUCUUAGCCUCUCGCAGGUGGCGGUAGGAGCGCGCAGAGGGCGCUACGAGCGCGCGCAUGCGUAGCACCCGUAGAGUGGCGCUUACGUCAGUCCACCUCUGGCUCUCGUUGGGAGAAGACGUGCGGUCGUUCGCUCCGUCGUCACUUGAUCCCUGGCUGUCGACGAGAGCAGUCGCAUCGGUCUGCGCUCCUACUGUGAGCUGUCCUAACUUGCCCAGACAUGCCGUGAUGACGUCACAGCUGACGUCACAGGAUGUCCGGAACUGGUGGUCAUAGCUGCGAUGCUUUGCAACCUGCUUCUGUGCUCCGUCACCCAGCGACGGUCAGCGGCCUUUCCGGACCGCUUUCUUCAAGAUGGCGCCGUUGAUCUUCAAUUAAACUCCUUCUCUCCACUCUA